rnacentral:rRNA from 1 species
AUUGAACGCUGGCGGCAUGCCUUACACAUGCAAGUCGAACGGCAGCGGACCUUCGGGUGCCGGCGAGUGGCGAACGGGUGAGUAAUAUAUCGGAACGUACCUUUCAGUGGGGGAUAACGUAGCGAAAGUUACGCUAAUACCGCAUAUUCUGUGAGCAGGAAAGCAGGGGAUCGCAAGACCUUGCGCUGAUUGAGCGGCCGAUAUCAGAUUAGCUAGUUGGUGAGGUAAAGGCUCACCAAGGCGACGAUCUGUAGCGGGUCUGAGAGGAUGAUCCGCCACACUGGAACUGAGACACGGUCCAGACUCCUACGGGAGGCAGCAGUGGGGAAUUUUGGACAAUGGGCGCAAGCCUGAUCUAGCCAUGCCGCGUGAGCGAUGAAGGCCUUAGGGUUGUAAAGCUCUUUCAGCUGGGAAGAUAAUGACGGUACCAGCAGAAGAAGCCCCGGCUAACUCCGUGCCAGCAGCCGCGGUAAA